AGAUGGUGAAAUGCUCCGUCUGCCGCUCAGUAGUGAUUUAUGGAGGAUCAAUACUGCCAUAAAGAUAUCUUCUGCUGCUUUUCCCACGGACAAACAUGAUUUACCACAAUGCUUUUAUUCACACGUAGAAUGCACCUGAAAGUACUGCAGGAAGAGCAGCUGGGCAUCUAUCAGAUCUGGACCAGUGCUGUUUUUGUA